rnacentral:rRNA from 1 species
GACGAACGCUGGCGGCGUGCUUAACACAUGCAAGUCGAACGGAAAGGCCCUGCUUUUGUGGGGUGCUCGAGUGGCGAACGGGUGAGUAACACGUGAGUAACCUGCCCUUGACUUUGGGAUAACUUCAGGAAACUGGGGCUAAUACCGGAUAGGAGCUCCUGCUGCAUGGUGGGGGUUGGAAAGUUUCGGCGGUUGGGGAUGGACUCGCGGCUUAUCAGCUUGUUGGUGGGGUAGUGGCUUACCAAGGCUUUGACGGGUAGCCGGCCUGAGAGGGUGACCGGCCACAUUGGGACUGAGAUACGGACCAGACGCCUACGGGGGGCAGCGGUGGGGAAUAUUGCACAAUGGGCGGAAGCCUGAGGCAGCAACGCCGCGGGCGGGAAGACGGCCUUCGGGUUGUAAACCGCUUACGCCUGUGACGAAGCGUGAGUGACGGUAAUGGGUAAAGAAGCACCGGCUAACUACGUG